GACGAACGCUGGCGGCGUGCCUAAUACAUGCAAGUAGAACGCUGAAGCUUGGUGCUUGCACCGAGCGGAUGAGUUGCGAACGGGUGAGUAACGCGUAGGUAACCUGCCUGGUAGCGGGGGAUAACUAUUGGAAACGAUAGCUAAUACCGCAUAAAAUGAAUUAUCGCAUGAUAAUUCAUUGAAAGGUGCAAAUGCAUCACUACCAGAUGGACCUGCGUUGUAUUAGCUAGUUGGUGGGGUAACGGCUCACCAAGGCGACGAUACAUAGCCGACCUGAGAGGGUGAUCGGCCACACUGGGACUGAGACACGGCCCAGACUCCUACGGGAGGCAGCAGUAGGGAAUCUUCGGCAAUGGACGGAAGUCUGACCGAGCAACGCCGCGUGAGUGAAGAAGGUUUUCGGAUCGUAAAGCUCUGUUGUAAGAGAAGAACGAGUGUGAGAGGGAAAGUUCACACU
rnacentral:rRNA from 1 species